ensembl:lncRNA
AGAGGGCGGGUCCCCUCAGGAGGCAGGCCAGGUAGAGGGCGGGUCCCCUCAGGAGGCAGGCCAGGUAGAGGGCGGGUCCCCUCUGGUGGACAGGGUAGAGGGCGGGUCCCCUCUGGUAGAAGGCCAGGCAGAGGGCGGGUCCCCUCUGGUAGAAGGCCAGGUAGGAACGGAGGGCGUGCCUCCUGGACGGUCUGGAGGGCGGACCCCCUCCGGCAGGAGCAGAGGCCAGUCCCCCUCUGGAAGGAGCAGGGGGCGGGCCCCCUCAGGCAGGAGCGGAGGCCGGUCCCCCUCAGGCAGGAGCGGAGGCCGGUCCCCCUCUGGAAGGAGCAGGGGGCGGGCCCCCUCAGGCAGGAGCGGAGGGCGGACCACCUCAAGCAGGCGAAGAGGCCGGUCCCCCUCUGGAAGGCGAGGAGCGGGCUCAGGAACCGGACAGGGCUCGGGGACCGGAGUCAGUGCGGGAGCUGGAGUGCCAGGAGGAACCGGGUGGUACCCCAAACUCUCCCAGCGAUCUAUUGCCUUCAUAAUAAAUAAAUCCUCCCACUCACGGCUAACUUGAUCGUCCGCUGGGUCCAUUGUCUUAUUUAUUUUGGCUAUCAAAUCCUCCAACUUACGGUCAAAUUGCGCGUCCGCUGGGUCCCAUCGUGACGGUGCUGUCAUUCUGUUAAGGGGAGGCGCUGGAGGUGCAGGGAGGCAGGUAGGACCCAAACGCAGACGGUAUUGAGGGUAAACGGCACUUUAAUCAAACCUAAAGGCUAAGGCACAGGUAUCAGGGAACUCGGGAGACAACUCGGAACUCGGGAGACAACAGGGAACUCGAAAGGGAACAAGGAACACGGAACACGCAGGACUACAACCAACACUAACCACGGCAACCCACACACAAACCACAAUGACAGCACACCGAACAAAGGAAAGACGAGGGCUUAAAUAACAAACACAACGAGGAACAGCUGAGACACAUUAGGGGAGGGAACAGUAAUCAACACAGGAGGGAAAAAC